AGAGUUUGAUCAUGGCUCAGCCUGAACGCUGGCGGCGUGGUUAAGACAUGCAAGUCGCACGGGAGCAGCAAUGCUCUAGUGGCGCAAGGGUGAGUAAUGUAUCGCUAACGUACCCUGGACACUGGGAUAGCUGCCCGAAAGGGCAGGUAAUACCAGAUAAAAUAUCCAUCUCGCAUGAGUGUGGAUCUCAAAGGAGCAAUCCGGUCUGGGCGCGGGCGAUAUCGUAUCAGCUAGUUGGUGAGGUAACGGCUCACCAAGGCGACGACGCGUAGCCGGACUGAGAGGUCGGUCGGCCACAUCGGGACUGAGACACUGCCCGGACUCCUACGGGGGGCUGCAGUAACGAAUCUUCCCCAAUGGGCGCAAGCCUGAGGGAGCGACGCCGCGUGGAGGAUGAAGUCCUUCGGGAUGUAAACUCCUGUCAGGGGUUACCAAGAUACUGAGGAGCCCCAAAGGAAGAGGCGGCUAACUCUGUGCCAGCAGCCGCGGUAAGACAGAGGCCUCGAGCGUUAGGCGGAAUCACUGGGCUUAAAGCGUGUGUAGGCGGAUCGUUAAGUGCCUUGUGAAAUCCCACGGCUUAACUGUGGAACGGCUGGGCAUACUGGCGGUCUUGAGCCAUCUAGGGGCGACUGGAACAAACGGUGGAGCGGUGAAAUGCGUAGAUAUCGUUUGGAACGCCAAUGGUGAAAACAGGUCGCUGGGGAUGAGCUGACGCUGAGACACGAAAGCCAGGGGAGCAAACGGGAUUAGAUACCCUAGUAGUCC
rnacentral:rRNA from 1 species